GAAUAUGAGAUGAGAAAAUAUUGAAAUGGAAAAUAUGAGAAUUGGUUAUGAGAUGAGAAAUGAGAUAUGAAAUGAUGAAUUGAGAUGUGAAACUUGAAUGAAUUCAAGUAUUGAUCAAAUAUGUGAAUCACGCCAUUGCAUGAGAUGAUGUAUUUAAAUGUUAAAUGAAAUGCCAUUGAUCUAUACUUAUAUAUUUGAACAUAUGAAAAUCUUAGUAGAUGUGAAUAAGGAAUGAGCAAAAAUUAUACUAUUGAAUUGAAAAACAUGAACAUAGCUUAAU
rnacentral:lncRNA from 1 species